CCUACGGGGGGCUGCAGUGGGGAAUAUUGCACAAUGGGCGCAAGCCUGAUGCAGCCAUGCCGCGUGUGUGAAGAAGGCCUUCGGGUUGUAAAGCACUUUCAGCGGGGAGGAAGGCGUUAAGGUUAAUAACCUUGUCGAUUGACGUUACCCGCAGAAGAAGCACCGGCUAACUCCGUGCCAGCAGCCGCGGUAAUACGGAGGGUGCAAGCGUUAAUCGGAAUUACUGGGCGUAAAGCGCACGCAGGCGGUCUGUCAAGUCGGAUGUGAAAUCCCCGGGCUCAACCUGGGAACUGCAUUCGAAACUGGCAGGCUAGAGUCUUGUAGAGGGGGGUAGAAUUCCAGGUGUAGCGGUGAAAUGCGUAGAGAUCUGGAGGAAUACCAGUGGCGAAGGCGGCCCCCUGGACAAAGACUGACGCUCAGGUGCGAAAGCGUGGGGAGCAAACAGGAUUAGAUACCCUUGUAGUC
rnacentral:rRNA from 1 species